GAUGAACGCUGGCGGCGUGCCUAAUACAUGCAAGUCGAGCGAACAGAUGCGGAGCUUGCUCCUCUGACGUUAGCCGCGGACGGGUGAGUAACACGUGGAUCACCUACCUAUAAGUCUGGGAUCACUUCGGGAAACCGGCGCUAAUCCCGGAUAAUAUACUGCACCGCAUGGUUCAAUAGUGAAAGACGGCUUUGCUGUCUCUUAUAGAUGCAUCUCGGCCGCAUUAGCUAGUUGGUAAGGUAACGGCUUUCCAAGGCAACGAUGCGUAGACGACCUGUCAGGGGGAUCGGCCGCACUGGAGCUGAGACACGGUCCAGGCGCCUACGGGAGGCAGCAGUAGGGAAUGGGACGCAAUGGGCGAAAGCAUGACGGAGCAACGCCGCGUGAGUGAUGAAGGUCUUCGGAGCGGAAAGCUCUGUUAUUAGGGAAGAACAGAUGUGUAAGGAACUAUGCACGGCUUGACGGUACCUAAUCAGAAAGCCACGGCUAACUACGUG
rnacentral:rRNA from 1 species